CCCUACGGGGGCAGCAGUGAGGAAUAUUGGUCAAUAGGCUUACGCCUGAACCAGCCAAGUCGCGUGAGGGAAGACUGCCCUAUGGGUUGUAAACCUCUUUUGUCAGGGAGCAACGCCGGCUACGUGUAGCCGGACUGAGAGUACCUGAAGAAAAAGCAUCGGCUAACUCCGUGCCAGCAGCCGCGGUAAUACGGAGGAUGCGAGCGUUAUCCGGAUUUAUUGGGUUUAAAGUGUGCGUAGGCGGAAUGCCAAGUCAGCGGUAAAAUCGCGGGGCUCAACAUCGCUCCGCAGUUGAAACUGGCGUU
rnacentral:rRNA from 1 species